rnacentral:rRNA from 1 species
GUACCCGGCAGAGGUAAGCCCUGCCCGGUGAAAAGAUUUAACGGCCGCAGUACCCUGACUGUGCUAAGGUAGCGUAAUCAGUUGGCUUCUAAAUGGAGUCGAGAAUGAAUGGGUAAAUGGGGAGCCGCUGUUUCUGCUUCGAUUCUUUGAAUUUAUUUAGUGGGUGAAAAUCCCCAUUAUAGGAAAAAAGACGAGAAGACCCUUAGAAUCUUAGUGAAAACAUUGUCCUCAGUGGUAAACUUUUGUUGGGGCGACAACGAGGCAAGCGAUAGAGCGAAGAACCCUCGAUAGUAAGCAAGACAUGACGAGCAUGAUAAGCAAGACAAGAUUACCUUAGGGAUAACAGCAUAAUUUUCUAAAGUUUGUGACCUCGAUGUUGGACUAGGACCCUAACGACUAGCCGUCGUACUGGCAGGAUCUGUGUGCGCCGG